rnacentral:piRNA from 1 species
AAAUGAGUUGGUCUAAAGUAUGG